AUUGAACGCUGGCGGCAGGCCUAACACAUGCAAGUCGAGCGGAUGAAGGGAGCUUGCUCCUGGAUUCAGCGGCGGACGGGUGAGUAAUGCCUAUGAAUCUUCCUGGUAGUGGGGGAUAACGUCCGGAAACGGGCGCUAAUACCGCAUACGUCCUGAGGGAGAAAGUGGGGGAUCUUCUGACCUCACGCUAUCAGAUGAGCCUAGGUCGGAUUAGCUAGUUGGUGGGGUAAAGGCCUACCAAGGCGACGAUCCGUAACUGGUCUGAGAGGAUGAUCAGUCACACUGGAACUGAGACACGGUCAAGACUCCUACGGGAGGCAGCAGUGGGGAAUAUUGGACAAUGGGCGAAAGCCUGAUCCAGCCAGGCCGCGUGUGUGAAGAAGGUCUUCGGAUUGUAAAGAACUUUAAGUUGGGAGGAAGGGCAGUAAGUUAAUAACUUGCUGUUUUGACGUUACCAACAGAAUAAGCACCGGCUAACUUCGUG
rnacentral:rRNA from 1 species